AGCACAGCCCGGAGUCUGCCAAAGACUCCUCAGGCUUCUGUGUUCACUUCUUUGGCACUUUUGGGUUCUGUAGUAGAUCUGUAACAAGAGGAAGUCAUUCACAAGUCGGCUUAUCUUCUAGCUUUUAAUGAGCCUGGUGCCCAGAGGUCCUUAACUAAGGAUGCCCACCUCUGUCAGGUUCCUAUUCUUCCUUCAAGGCUCCUCAAUUCCAUCCCAUCCCCACCCCCCAUCCCAGACAUCCCUUGGCAGAUGGGAUCUUUUUUGUCUUCUGGUCAUCCAUGGCAUUUGGUUGGCUCUGCUCAGUUGGGUAUCUUAUACCCAAACUUGAACUAUUUUUGAUUAUGUAUAUGUCUUAUUCUCCUUUAGACUGGUACCUCCUUAAGGGCAGGUAGGUAGGACAGACUUUAUCAGAAUGGCCAAUAAUCUGGUUGUGAGAUUAUAUUACAGUCUUGCCAGUCUUUGAGGGAAACUGGGUAAAGGGUACAUAGGAUCUCCCUGUAUUAUAUCUUAUAACUGCAUAUACACCUAUAAUUACCUCCAAAUAAAAAAAGCUUAAUUAAAAAGCAAAACACACGGAACCAUAAGGCCUCAGAGGUGGAAAAAACUCAAGAGAUCAGCUAGUGCUGUCUUUACCCAAUGUGUGAAUUUCUGCCAAGCAUCCCACAUGGAGAUUUACCUAGCUUUUUUCAAACCCCAGCAAUGGAGAACUCAUUCUCUCAUCAGAAAGAGCAUUCCAUUUCUAGACAAUUCUAAUUCUAUUCUGAAACAAAACUGGCCGGGCUGUAACUUUCUCCUUGGAGCCCACACAGAACAAGUUGCUCCCUUAUCCCACAACCUUUCAGUGACUAGUGUGGAGAAGAUUCAGUGAGACAUUGGAAGCCACUGAAGGCAGAGAUGGAGCUCCAGCUUAGAAAUGGGUCCCAACUACCAGCUGUGACACUUUCUGCUCACCUGGAUGAAAAACCACAAGUCACAACUGGCUCCCAAAGGAAAGAGUAAGUAUCAAAAUAGCCGAUAUUUGGAUGUUGGUUGCUGUCUCCCAGAACACUUCCUCAAAAACUAUGAUCUCCUGCAAAAGCUCAGCCUUAUUGAAUUAUAUUCCUGCUCACCCCUGUGGCAGAGGACAAAAAUGACCACAAGAGUUUGUAGCUCCUCUCAUUUCUAGGAUAGCUCAUUUCCUUGUUCCCUUUUUUUAUUGUGGUAACAUAUACAUAACAUAAAAUUUUCUAUUUUAACUAUUUUUAAAUGCACAGCACUGUGGCAUUAAGCACCUUCACAUUGUUAGAUAGCCAUCACCACCAUCCAUCUCCAGAACUCUUCAUCUUCCCCAGCUGAAAUACUAGACUCAUGAAACACUGACUCCUUCUCUCCUCCCUUCGCCCCUGACAACCACCAUUCUUCUUUCUAUCGCCCUGCAUUUGACUCC